rnacentral:rRNA from 1 species
CGCCGACAAUCACGAAAAGGAAGGAGAUAGCGGCGGCUGACGGCGCCGAAAUCCAUGCCGCUGCCGCGGGCAAUUUGGGACGCUCGUCGGCGAUGUCGCGUCCGGCGGCGCUUUACCUUGCUCUGCUCAUUGAGGAUGUGCGGGCCGCCGUCCUUGAAGGCAGACGUUCUGGCCACGGUGAUGGGGGCUGCGUGUGCCGUCGGCCGUGAUGGCAGGCGCGGUGGUCGGGAAAUGGUGGGUGGGCGUGAUACUGUGACGGCGGGUCGGGAGACGGCGUCUGGGCGUAAGACGGAGGCUGAGCUGCCUCUGUGUGCUGGAGCUUCCUCCCGCGGCAUGGAGAGGAGCUGCAGCCCGCACAUCGCAAGGGGAUGGAGGCCCCCCUCUCCCUGUCCAUCCAGCUGCUGAUUUUAUGUGGUCUGGUCGAUGAGGAUGGCGUGAAAGACGGCAGUUCCACUCCGAGUAUGUUUGAUGCGAGCAUACAAAACCUUUGCUGUUGCGUCCCAACCUCUACUGUAUAUGUCUAAAAGCAGGAGUGGAACUAAUGUUGCCUGUUGAUCGGAGGGGGGGAGCCAACGGGAGCAGAAACGAAGUUCACAGGUGGUGGUGCCAUGAUCCUCUUUGAGCCAGGACGGCCCAUCUUUGCCAAGACCCAUUUCUGUUCUGCACGACUCAUGGCCAGAACGCUGCAUGACUUUUAUAGCAUGGCAUUAGAUAAAUGGCGGGAAGAGAAGGACUCCUCAUUUUGUAUUGGCGGCAGAUAAAAAGACAUAAUUUGGCGCCAGGUAAAAUAUCAAAGAAGGAAAAAUAUUGACCACAGUAUCAAUGAAAUUUCUACGUUGAUCAAUCUC